AAAUAGAUACCCGGGUAGUCCACGCCGUAAACGAUGAGUGCUAAGUGUUGGGGGGGUUUCCGCCCCUCAGUGCUGCAGCUAACGCAUUAAGCACUCCGCCUGGGGAGUACGGUCGCAAGACUGAAACUCAAAGGAAUUGACGGGGGCCCGCACAAGCGGUGGAGCAUGUGGUUUAAUUCGAAGCAACGCGAAGAACCUUACCAGGUCUUGACAUCCCGGUGACCACUAUGGAGACAUAGUUUCCCCUUCGGGGGCAACGGUGACAGGUGGUGCAUGGUUGUCGUCAGCUCGUGUCGUGAGAUGUUGGGUUAAGUCCCGCAACGAGCGCAACCCUUAUUCUUAGUUGCCAUCAUUCAGUUGGGCACUCUAAGGAGACUGCCGGUGAUAAACCGGAGGAAGGUGGGGAUGACGUCAAAUCAUCAUGCCCCUUAUGACCUGGGCUACACACGUGCUACAAUGGACGGUACAAACGGUUGCCAACCCGCGAGGGGAGCUAAUCCGAUAAAACCGUUCUCAGUUCGGAUUGUAGGCUGCAACUCGCCUACA
rnacentral:rRNA from 1 species